AGUGGCGAACGGGUGAGUAAUGUAUCGGAACGUACCUUUCAGUGGGGGAUAACGUAGCGAAAGUUACGCUAAUACCGCAUAUUCUGUGAGCAGGAAAGCAGGGGAUCGAAAGACCUUGCGCUGAUUGAGCGGCCGAUAUCAGAUUAGCUAGUUGGUGGGGUAAAGGCCUACCAAGGCGACGAUCUGUAGCGGGUCUGAGAGGAUGAUCCGCCACACUGGAACUGAGACACGGUCCAGACCCCUACGGGAGGCAGCAGUGGGGAAUUUUGGACAAUGGGGGCAACCCUGAUCCAGCCAUGCCGCGUGAGUGAAGAAGGCCUUCGGGUUGUAAAGCUCUUUCGGCCGGGAAGAAAUCGCAUAGGCUAAUACCCUGUGCGGAUGACGGUACCGGAAUAAGAAGCACCGGCUAACUACGUGCCAGCAGCCGCGGUAAUACGUAGGGUGCGAGCGUUAAUCGGAAUUACUGGGCGUAAAGCGUGCGCGGGCGGUUUCGUAAGACAGAGGUGAAAUCCCCGGGCUCAACCUGAGAACUGCCUUUGUGACUGCGAGGCUAGAGUACGCAGAAGGGGGGGGUGGAAUUCCACGGUGGUAGCAGUGAAUGCGUAGAGAAAUGGGGGAAGAACACGGAUGGCGAAGGCAGCCCCCUGGGCCGAUACUGACGCUCAUGCACGAAAGCGUGG
rnacentral:rRNA from 1 species